rnacentral:rRNA from 1 species
UAACCUGGUUGAUCCUGCCAGUAGUCAUACGCUCGUCUCAAAGAUUAAGCCAUGCAUGUGUUAGUAUAAACGAUUUUAUACAGUAAAACUGCGAACGGCUCAUUAUAUCAGUUAUAGUUUAUUUGAUAAUCUUUCACUAUUGGAUAACCGUAGUAAUUCUAGAGCUAAUACAUGCUUACAGUCCCAACUCACGGCGGGACGUAUUUAUUAGAUUUCAAUCAACAUUUUUUGCUGACUCAUGAUAACUAAGCGGAUCGCAGAGGCCUUGUGCCGGCGACAAAUCAUUCAAGUUUCUGCCCUAUCAGCUUUCGAUGGUAGUGUAUUGGACUACCAUGGCAUUAACGGGUAACGGAGGAUUAGGGUUCGAUUCCGGAGAGGGCGCCUGAGAAAUGGCGACCACAUCCAAGGAAGGCAGCAGGCGCGUAAAUUACCCAAUCCUAAUUCAGGGAGGUAGUGACAAUAAAUAUCGAUGCGGGGCCCUACGGGUCUUGCAAUCGGAAUGAGAACAAUUUAAAUCCCUUAACGAGGAUCAAUUGGAGGGCAAGUCUGGUGCCAGCAGCCGCGGUAAUUCCAGCUCCAAUAGCGUAUAUUAAUGUUGUUGCAGUUAAAAAGCUCGUAGUUGGAUUUCUGCGCCGCGCAGCUCGGUCCGCCGCACUGCGGUGUGACUGGGUUGGAGCGUCGCAUCCUUGUGGAGACUGUUUCUGGCAUUAACUUGUCUUGAUUCAGGAACCGCAUCGUUUACUGUGAAAAAAUUAGAGUGUUCAAAGCAGGCUUAUGCCGUGAAUAUGUUAGCAUGGAAUAAUAAGAUAGGACCUUGGUACUAUUUUGUUGGUUGGAGGCCAAGGUAAUGAUUAAUAGGGAAUAGUUGGGGGUAUUCAUAUUUAAUUGUCAGAGGUGAAAAUUCUUGGAUUUAUGAAAGAUGAACUUAUGCGAGAGCAUUUACCAAGGAUGUUUUCAUUAAUCAAGAACGAAAGUUAGGGGAUCGAAGGAGGAUUAGAUACCCUUCGUAGUCUUAACCAUAAACUAUGCCGACUCGGGAUUGGGAGGUGUACAUUAAAAAGACCCUCUCAGUACCUUAUGAGAAAUCAAAGUCUUUGGGUUCCGGGGGGAGUAUGGUCGCAAGGCUGAAACUUAAAGGAAUUGACGGAAGGGCACCACCAGGAGUGGAGCUUGCGGCUUAAUUUGACUCAACACGGGGAAACUUUCCAGGUCAGGACACAGUUAGGAUUGACAGAUUGAGAGCUCUUUCUUGAUUCUGUGGUUGGUGGUGCAUGGCCGUUCUUAGUUGGUGGGGUGACUUGUCUGGUUAAUUCCGUUAACGAACGAGAUCUCCGCCUGCUAAAUAGUCACGUGAAUCCGUUUGGAUUGACGGGCGACUUCUUAGAGGGACACUUGGCGUUUAGUCAAGGGAAGUUGGAGGCAAUAACAGGUCUGUGAUGCCCUUAGAUGUUCUGGGCCGCACGCGCGCUACACUGAUUCAUUCACUAAGUCUAUAACCUUGGUAGAAAUGCUUGGGUAAUCUUUGAACCUGAAUCGUGCUGGGGAUUGGAGCUUGUAAUUAUUCUCCAUGAACGAGGAAUUCCUAGUAAACGCGAGUCAUCAGCUCGCAUUGAUUACGUCCCUGCCCUUUGUACACACCGCCCGUCGCACCUACCGAUUGAAUGGUCCGGUGAAAUCUUCGGACCGGGCGAUGAUCAGCAGUGCCCGACGCUUGGAAAGUCGCUUAAACCUUACCAUUUAGAGGAAGGUGAAGUCGUAACAAGGUUUCCGUAGGUGAAC